rnacentral:rRNA from 1 species
UACAGAGGGUGCAAGCGUUGUUCGGAAUUACUGGGCGUAAAGCGCGUGUAGGCGGUUUCGUAUGUCUGGUGUGAAAUCCCCGGGCUCAACCCGGGAAGUGCACUGGAAACUGCGAGACUAGAGUCCCGGAGAGGAAGGUGGAAUUCCAGGUGUAGCGGUGAAAUGCGUAGAUAUCUGGAAGAACACCGGUGGCGAAGGCGGCCUUCUGGACGGUGACUGACGCUGAGACGCGAAAGCGUGGGGAGCAAACAGG